rnacentral:sRNA from 1 species
AGUCAUUAUAUCUAUUGUUAAUCUUGUUGUGUUCAGCAAAUAAAAAUGCAAGCAAAAUUUUCUAAAAAUUUUAUUUAAAGAUUCAUCAGAAAUUGGCUUUGGAAAAAUGGAAACCUACAUCAAAUUGGAAAAGCUUGGAGAGGGUACAUAUGCAACAGUAUAUAAAGGAAGAAGUAAAUUGACAGAGAAUUUGGUGGCAUUAAAAGAGAUCCGAUUGGAACAUGAAGAAGGUGCACCCUGCACAGCUAUAAGAGAAGUUUCACUAUUAAAGGAUUUAAAACAUGCAAAUAUAGUAACCUUACAUGACAUUGUUCACACAGAUAAAUCCUUGACUUUGGUGUUUGAGUAUCUGGAUAAAGACCUGAAACAGUACAUGGAUGACUGUGGAAACAUCAUGAGUAUGCACAACGUAAAGCUGUUUCUGUACCAAAUUCUACGUGGUUUGGCAUAUUGCCAUAGAAGAAAGGUAUUGCAUCGAGAUUUGAAACCACAGAACCUCCUCAUUAAUGAAAAAGGAGAAUUAAAGCUAGCAGAUUUUGGACUAGCCCGAGCCAAGUCGGUUCCCACAA